rnacentral:rRNA from 1 species
ACGAACGCUGGCGGCGUGCUUAACACAUGCAAGUCGAACGCGAAAGAGGUCUUCGGACCUCUCUAGAGUGGCGCACGGGUGAGUAACGCGUAGAUAAUCUACCUCUAUAUUUGGGAUAACAGUUCGAAAGGACUGCUAAUACCGGAUACACUUAUUUGAACGCGAGUUUGAGUGAGGAAAGGUGACCUCUCCAUGGAAGUUACUGUAUAGAGAUGAGUCUGCGUACCAUUAGCUAGUAGGUAGGGUAAAGGCCUACCUAGGCAACGAUGGUUAGCGGGUCUGAGAGGAUGAUCCGCCACACUGGAACUGGAACACGGACCAGACUCCUACGGGAGGCAGCAGUGAGGAAUAUUGCGCAAUGGGGGAAACCCUGACGCAGCGACGCCGCGUGGGUGAUGAAGGCCUUCGGGUUGUAAAGCCCUGUCAGGUGGGAAGAAGUGCAUAAUGGCUAAUAUCCAUUAUGUUUGACGGUACCACCAAAGGAAGCACCGGCUAACUCCGUGCCAGCAGCCGCGGUAAUACGGAGGGUGCAAGCGUUGUUCGGAUUUACUGGGCGUAAAGGGCGCGUAGGCGGUCCUAUAAGCCAGAUGUGAAAGCCCACGGCUCAACCGUGGAAGUGCAUCUGGAACUGUAGGACUUGAGUAUGGGAGAGGAAAGUGGAAUUCCCGGUGUAGAGGUGAAAUUCGUAGAUAUCGGGAGGAAUACCGGUGGCGAAGGCGACUUUCUGGACCAAUACUGACGCUGAGGCGCGAAAGCGUGGGUAGCAAACAGGAUUAGAUACCCUGGUAGUCCACAGCUGUAAACGAUGAUAACUAGGUAUAGGGGGUGUUGACCCCUUCUGUGCCGCAGCUAACGCAUAAGUAUCCGCC